AUCUAUAUAGUUUAAAAUAAAACAUUACAUUUUCAAUGUAAAAACAAUAAAUUCAUUUAUAGAUA
rnacentral:tRNA from 1 species